rnacentral:rRNA from 12 species
CUAAGGAAGGCAGCAGGCGCGCAACUUACCCAAUCCUGACGCAGGGAGGUAGUGACGAAACAUACCCUAGUAUAGAUCCGUGAUCUUGUAUAGGGAAUGCAUCCAAUCUAAACCGUUGGGUGAUGACCGAUUGGAGGGCAAGACUGGUGCCAGCAGCCGCGGUAAUACCAGCUCCAAUAGCAUAUAUUAGUGUUGUUGCGGUUAAAACGUCCGUAGUCGAAUUAAAGGCUCGUAACGCGUCUGACGCUAGGAGUUACUGGGGUGACCAUCCCCAAGGGGUAGCUUGUGUAGCCCUGCGGAGAUAUCGCCCCAUGUUACCUUGACGAAAUUGUGGUGUUCAUAGCAAGUACGGAGUACUCUAGGCACAAUAGCAUGGAAUAACAACGCAAGGACUCCGACCCGGAUUGCGCUAGCGCUCGGGAUCGGAGGAAGGAUUAAUAGGAGCAGUCGGGGGCGGUCGUAUUCCAUUGCUAGAGGUGAAAUUCGGUGACCAAUGGAGGACGAACAACAGCGAAAGCAUCCGUCCAGUAUGUUUUCAUUGAUCAGUGGACGAAAGCUAGGGGAGCGAACACGAUUAGGCACCGUGUGUAGUCCUAGCCGUAAACGAUACCGACUAGGGGUUGGUGGACGUUCUUCUCGAUAGCUCCAUCAGCACCUUAUGAGAAA